rnacentral:tRNA from 1 species
GUGCCCGUAGUUCAGUUGGAUAGAACGCUUGGUUGCGGACCAAGUGGUCGGGGGUUCGAGUCCCUCCGGGCACG